UUUUUGAAGUGGCCUGCAUCACAGAAAUUCCCCAUGGACUUGCCAUUGUUGAAGCAGAAUUUGGCAGCUCAGCUCUGCUCUCUCCGUUGAUCCCAGCACAACCCCACAACCCCCUCAAGAGAUUCAGUGCAGUUGCCACCACAUUGACUCUAUUUUGACACGCAGACAUCCAGGCUUGUAAUUCAGUGAAGGAAGAUUCCUCCCAGGGUGACAAAGGCCCCCUAAAAAUGAAGAAAAUGAAAACCAUCUUAUAGGUUGCCAAG
rnacentral:lncRNA from 1 species